ACUCUAAUGAGACUGCCGGUGACAAACCGGAGGAAGGUGGGGAGUACGUCAAGUCCUCAUGGCCCUUAUAGGUGGGGCUACACACGUCAUACGAUGGCUGGUACAAAGGGUUGCCAACCCGCGAGGGGGAGCCAAUCCCAUAAAGCCAGUCGUAGUCCGGAUCGCAGUCUGCAACUCGACUGCGUGAAGUCGGAAUCGCUAGUAAUCGUGGAUCAGCAUGUCACGGUGAAUACGUUCCCGGGUCUU
rnacentral:rRNA from 1 species